rnacentral:misc_RNA from 1 species
UUGAAUUCCAAACGUAAAGGACUUUGUCUUUGCUGUGCGCCUUUUUACCGGCUGCACGCCUGGUCCGAUACACUUACACCUGUGCACCUUUGACCCGCAUAUAGUCGGGUCCUUACACACACUUAUAAAUCUUAGAAUGUCUUAUAUAUAUAUAUAUAUAUGA